UCCCUACGGGGGGCAGCAGUGAGGAAUAUUGGUCAAUGGGCGAGAGCCUGAACCAGCCAAGUCGCGUGAGGGAAGACGGUCCUAUGGAUUGUAAACCUCUUUUGCCGGGGAGCAAAAAGCGGUACGUGUACCGCAUCGAGAGUACCCGGAGAAAAAGCAUCGGCUAACUCCGUGCCAGCAGCCGUGGUAAUACGGAGGAUGCGAGCGUUAUCCGGAUUUAUUGGGUUUAAAGGGUGCGUAGGCGGUUUUUUAAGUUAGUGGUUAAACGUCGGGGCUUCACCUUGAUUUGCCAUUAAUACUGUAAG
rnacentral:rRNA from 1 species